rnacentral:rRNA from 1 species
UACAGAGGUCUCAAGCGUUGUUCGGAUUCAUUGGGCGUAAAGGGUGCGUAGGUGGCGGGGUAAGUCAGGUGUGAAAUUUCGGAGCUUAACUCCGAAACUGCAUUUGAUACUGCCUUGCUUGAGGACUGGAGAGGAGACUGGAAUUCACGGUGUAGCAGUGAAAUGCGUAGAGAUCAUGAGGAAGACCAGUGGCGAAGGCGGGUCUCUGGACAGUUCCUGACACUGAGACACGAAGGCCAGGGGAGCAAACGGG